rnacentral:rRNA from 1 species
UACGUAGGUGACAAGCGUUGUCCGGAAUCAUUGGGCGUAAAGCGCGCGUAGGCGGCCCGGAAAGUCGGAUGUGAAAUCCCGGGGCUCAACCCCGGGCCUGCAUCCGAUACUCCCGGGCUGGAGGCAGGUAGGGGAGAUCGGAAUUCCUGGUGUAGCGGUGAAAUGCGCAGAUAUCAGGAGGAACACCGGUGGCGAAGGCGGAUCUCUGGGCCUUGCCUGACGCUGAGGCGCGAAAGCUAGGGGAGCGAACAGG